UGGGGAAUCUUGCACAAUGGGCGAAAGCCUGAUGCAGCGACGCCGCGUGCGGGAUGAAGGCCUUCGGGUUGUAAACCGCUUUCAGCAGGGACGAGGCCGCAAGGUGACGGUACCUGCAGAAGAAGCCCCGGCUAACUACGUGCCAGCAGCCGCGGUAAUACGUAGGGGGCAAGCGUUAUCCGGAUUUACUGGGCGUAAAGGGUGCGUAGGUGGUCUUUCAAGUCGGUGGUUAAAGGCUACGGCUCAACCGUAGUUAGCCUCCGAAACUGGAAGACUUGAGUGCAGGAGAGGAAAGUGGAAUUCCCAGUGUAGCGGUGAAAUGCGUAGAUAUUGGGAGGAACACCAGUAGCGAAGGCGGCUUUCUGGACUGCAACUGACACUGAAGCACGAAAGCGUGGGUAGCAAACAGG
rnacentral:rRNA from 1 species